AUACGGAAGGUCCGGGCGUUAUCCGGAUUUAUUGGGUUUAAAGGGAGCGCAGGCGGAGAUGCAAGCGUGACGUCAAAUUUCGGGGCUCAACCCCGUCUCGCGUCGCGAACUGCGUCCCUUGGUUGCGGGAAGGGGAGGCGGAACUCGUGGUGUAGCGGUGAAAUGCAUAGAUAUCACGAAGAACUCCGAUCGCGAAGGCAGCCUUCCUGCCCGUCAACGACGCUCAUGCUCGAAGGUGCGGGUAUCAAACAGGAUUAGAUACCCUGGUAGUCCGCACAGUAAACGAUGGACACCCGCGGUUUGGCCUGUAUGGCUGAGCCGCCAAGCGAAAGCGUUAAGUGUCCCACCUGGGGAGUAC
rnacentral:rRNA from 1 species